GAGCACGUAGGUGGGUUUGUAAGUCAGCUGUGAAAGCCUUCUGCUUAACGGAAGAACAGCAGUUGAAACUACAGUGCUUGAGUGCGGGAGGGGAGAGUGGAACUUCUGGUGGAGCGGUGAAAUGCGUAGAUAUCAGAAGGAACGCCGGCGGCGAAAGCGGCUCUCUGGCCCGUAACUGACGCUGAGUGUGCGAAAGCUAGGGGAGCAAACGGGAUUAGAUACCCCGGUAGUCCUAGCCGUAAACGAUGGGCACUAAGUAGAGGGGUU
rnacentral:rRNA from 1 species